AUAUGGCUGCUAACGCCAUCGCUUCAACUCUGUCCUUGCCCAUUUUAAAUUCGUAUUCCACACAAGUAAAUUCUACUCGGUCUCAGCAAGGGUCUAAAAUGUAGAAUUAUGCCUGUUAAUUCUGCCUCCGUCAAGGAGCACCCAUUUAGAAAAGACAAAACUAAACAAAACCCAAAGUGGCCCUUCUCAGUGCCAGCCCGGAGCACUUGGUUUCCCAGCAAAAGACACCGGUACAGCCCCAGUGGGAAACUCCCGGCCUCAGUUCGAUCUCCAAGUUAAUCACUGGGGCGCCUUCACAGCAGCCCCCGCCCCCCCCGCCUCCCUUCUCCUGGUCACCCGCGUCCUCCCCGAGCGCUUCCUGUGCGCCUGGACCAAGACCAGAGGAGCGCGCGGAUUCCCAAAGCACCGCAGGAGGAAUGAGUUGGUCUUCUGAUUCUGGGCGAUUUGAGGCAGAAGACUUCCCAGAUGACCUCUAGCCGCCUUGGCAAAAUUAGGCGACUAGAAUCUAAAAGCAUCGGUUGCUAAUGAGUCCACAGAAGCCACAAAUGUGUGCGGCGGGAGCUGGGCUAUUGCAAGCGGGAGCCAGGGAGGAGGCGUAGCAGCUCUUGCCGCGGAUGUGGUGGUGGAUGAUGCCAAGUCCUCUUGUUUUUUUUUUUUUUGUUUUUUUUUAAAGGAAGUAAAGAAUGAUGAAUGAUUAAGAGGGCCAUGGGCCACUCCCUCGGCCUCUCUAACCUCUCUUGGUCUCUUUCCUCUCUGUCUUUUGUACAUGCACCUGCCCAGGUGAGAUGUCACAGGAAAAUAAAACGGUGGGUCAGUCUUCUCUGGUAAGAAAUUAAAGCCCAAAUUAGGUGGAGAAAGUGGAGACCGAUAAUAGCUCCUAACAAUGUCUCCCACUUGUGCGUUUUUCUUUAUUGGCUAAUAAAUCAAAUUAUCCAUCGUGACUGUGUGUUUACAGAAGAGAUCUUUUUUUUUUUCCUAGACCUGAAUUAUUUAGAUAUUUUCUGUCUUGGUUCAGUUUCUGAUAUUCUGCAGAAACCCUGCUUAAAUGAAGGAUAAAAUGAGACCACCAGUUUCAAGCAUGGCAAGAAUGAAAAUGAAAAGGAUUCGUCUGAAGGCUUAAUCAAAAUGGCUACUUCAAAAUAUCAGGAACUGCUGGAAAUAUGGAUAUCAGCAUGUGAAUGAUUGCUUGAACCAUGAAAAUGAAUGAAAUCAUCCAACCUGCAAUUUCGAAGAAAGGAAAGAGUCAGUCAGUGCCAGGAGGAAACUUGAGACGUGGGCAUUAAGGAGAGGUGGAGAAUGAUGCCAGACGACAAACUGACGAACAAUAGAGCAUGAAAUAGGAGAGAUGUUAGCUUAGCAUCCCAGAAGUCAAAGAGAGAGGCUUUUGAAACAGGUUAAUUAGUCAGUAUUUCCAAACAUCACAAAGAGAUUGAAUAAAAUGAGGACUGAAAAGCAUGUCCACUGAAUUGGACAGAGCAGAAGAGAUUUCUGUGGUCCUCAUGACAACAGUUUGAGAAGAGCAGUGUAGGGAGACAUAAUACUCUGGUUUGUGGGAUGUAAGGGAAGAUGCAAAUAAAGUGAAGGGGACAAUUUCUUAGGAUGUCUGGUGAAGAUAAAAGGAAUCUGACAAUGACUUGAAAGGCAUGUGAAGCAUAAUGGACGUGCUAGUUUUCAUAUAUGAGAGGUACUACAACAUAUUUAUAUAUUAAUGGUUAAAAUUAGGUUUUCCUGAAGAAGUAGAAAAGAAACCCAAGAUAUCAGAGUAAUUUUUUUCUUACACUCCCUCCUCUUUCAUCUCAUUCCUUAAAUUCUGUAAUUCUAAACAAUUAGAAUCUACUGUAAUCCACUAUGUCUAAUUUUAUGUUCCUUAUUGAACUAUUGCCUAUGAUACUCACUUGUCUUCUUCUAGACUGAGUACUGGCUAGUCUAUGGAAUCUAGAAAAAUGGUACAGAUGAACCUGUUUCCAAGGCAGUAACAGAGAUGCAGACGUACAGAACAGAUCCGUGGACGCGGUGGGUAGAGGAGGAGGGGAGGGUGAAAUGAAUUGUGAGGUUAGGAUUGAUGUAUAUACACUACCAUGUGUAAGAUAGAUAGCUCCUAGGACCUUCUGUAAAGGACAGGAAGCUCAGUUCAGUGCUCCGUGGUAAC